GCAGUCGAAACGUUAAAUGUCGAGCUACCAUUAAAAAAUCUUGAGGAAUUUCAAGAGUUUGAUGCUGAUUUAAAAAACACAGCAUCAAAAACGAGGCAUUGUUUUUCCGGAUCAAAAUUUUUGAAGAAAAAACGGCUAAGAAAUGUAUAAGUAAAAUGGCAUCUACAUUGAUGAUAAAAAAUAUUGAAAAACACUACUCUGGAACUGGCAAAAAAAUGAAAGGCGUGGAAAAACUUAAUUUCAGCGCAACAGAAACAUUUAAGUGUGUGGAAGAUGUAGUAAAAGAAAAACUAGGUGAUUGUGAAGAGUGCAAAAAUUUCGCUGGAAAAGUUGGGCGGUGAUUUUCAGGGCAAGGAGACCGGAAACAUGGUCAGAAAGAACGAUCCUUAUCUGUAUAAUAUUGUAAAAUGUAUGAAUGUCUCCAUCUAUGGAUUGAUUGACUAACGACAGUUUGUUAGUUAACGACGAUUUGAUUGUUUAUA